rnacentral:rRNA from 1 species
AUACGGAGGAUCCGAGCGUUAUCCGGAUUUAUUGGGUUUAAAGGGUGCGCAGGCGGAUUGUUAAGUCAGUUGUGAAAGUUUGCGGUUCAACCGGAAAAUUGCAGUUGAAACUGGCAGUCUUGAGUACAGUAGUGGUGGGCGGAAUUCGUGGUGUAGAGGUGAAAUGCUUAGAUAUCACGAAGAAUUACGAUUUCGAAGGAGGUUCACGAUACUGGUACUGACGCUGAUGCCCGAAAGUUUUGUUAUCAAACAGUAUUAUAUACCCUUGUAGGCCACACACUAAACGAUAAAUUCUCGCUGUUUACGAUAUGCAGGAAUCGGCCAAGCGAAAGCGUUAAGUAUUCCACCCUGGGAGCAAGCCGGCAACGGUGGAACCCAAAAGAAUUUACAUGU